GGUCACUGUGCUUAAGAGUACAAUUUAUAACAAAUACUCACUCGUUAAUUUUAUUGUUCUGACAAAAUGAAUAAACUUGUGUUACUACUUCUUAUAGUUUGCCUUUGCAAGAGCAUAGACACAUCUUGUUCUAAGCGAUGCGGUGAGCGAUCCUGUCCCUCACGCGGGUGUGACUCCUGCAUGAGUCCGUGCAACGAUCGACCAUAUCCUUGUGAUCGGGAAUGCGAAUGUCUGAAAGCGGCGAUGCGUUUUCCAGAAGUGGAAUAUCCGAUGACGGUGAUCGAAAUCAAGCCGUACUGCUGCGGUUGCGGUUGGUGUACAUAGUUUACUUAUAAUAUUCUAUUGAAUAAACAUU